rnacentral:rRNA from 1 species
GACGAACGCUGGCGGCGUGCCUAACACAUGCAAGUCGAACGGACAGACAGAGAGCUUGCUCUCCUGAAGUUAGUGGCGAACGGGUGAGUAACGCGUAAUCAACCUGCCCUUCAGAGGGGGAUAACAACGGGAAACCGUUGCUAAUACCGCGUACGAUUCAUGAACGGCAUCGUUUAUGAAUGAAAGGUGGCCUCUAUGUAUAAGCUAUCGCUGAAGGAGGGGAUUGCGGCUGAUUAGCUAGUUGGAGGGGUAACGGCCCACCAAGGCAAUGAUCAGUAGCCGGUCUGAGAGGAUGAACGGCCACAUUGGGACUGAGACACGGCCCAAACUCCUACGGGAGGCAGCAGUGGGGAAUCUUCCGCAAUGGACGAAAGUCUGACGGAGCAACGCCGCGUGAGUGAUGAAGGUCUUCGGAUUGUAAAGCUCUGUUAAUCGGGACGAAAGAGUUCUGCGUGAAUAAUGCAGAAAAGUGACGGUACCGGAAUAGAAAGCCACGGCUAACUACGUGCCAGCCGCCGCCGUAA